AGAUUGAACGCUGGCGGCAUGCCUUACACAUGCAAGUCGAACGGCAGCACGGGAGCAAUCCUGGUGGCGAGUGGCGAACGGGUGAGUAAUACAUCGGAACGUGCCCAAUCGUGGGGGAUAACGCAGCGAAAGCUGUGCUAAUACCGCAUAAGAUCUACGGAUGAAAGCAGGGGAUCGCAAGACCUUGCGCGAAUGGAGCGGCCGAUGGCAGAUUAGGUAGUUGGUGAGGUAAAGGCUCACCAAGCCUUCGAUCUGUAGCUGGUCUGAG
rnacentral:rRNA from 1 species